rnacentral:lncRNA from 1 species
AGGACCGGAGGCGCGACCCCUCGGCCCACCUUGAGGCCCGGCCUAGGACUGGAGGCGCGACCCCUCGGCCCACCUUGAGGCCCGGCCUAGGACCGGAGGCGCGACCCCUGGGCCCACCUUGAGGCCCGGCCUAGGACUGGAGGCGCGACCCCUCGGCCCACCUUGAGGCCCGGCCUAGGACCGGAGGCGCGACCCCUGGGCCCACCUGGCGGCCCGGCCGGCACAGCCCGCCUCUCCUCUCCAGGCCAGGGCCCCACACCUUCCGCCUGACAGCCAGCCAAGCUCUUCAGUCCCCCGCCCUCCACCUGCCAGGGAGGCUCCGGGCGUUGUACCUGCCACCACGGGGUAGGUCUGGUACAAAGCACUGGGAAUACAACCUUGAACAAGACAAGAAUCCUGGCCUUCAAGGAACUUCGAACCUUUUGGGGGAUAUGAUAAGACACAUUAGGAAUCACCAUGUUAAUGGUUAUCUUUCUUGAAGGAUAUAAGUCCAGACACAUAUACUCACAGAAAUGAGUUAUUUAAAGAAGACGGUCCAGAUUCCACAGUCCAAAAAAAAAAGAGGUUUGCCCUGCUUCUGAAGGAGUCAGGGUAUGAAUGCAGAGGUCUUCCUGUUGGCUCACAUAUCAGAUCUUCAACGUCAACAUUAAAUGCGAGUGAUGCUUCCCCCUCUGUGAAUGUGGCUUUGGGUAUGGCUAAUCCACACCCUGCACUCUGGCCUUCAGAAGCCCAGGGAGAGAAGCCUCCCAGAAGCAACCUUCCAGAACCUUCUCCAUCCUCCCACCGACCUCCCCAGCCCCUGUCCUCUCUUUGAAUCUCGUUGUCAAGUUCUUCCCGCAGACACCUGGCUCCUUGAGGGGAGGUGCAGCUUUCAUCUGACCAUGCAGGCGUGCUUUGCAGUGGGUAGAGCAGUGCUUUCCUCCUCCCAGCUGCACACUGGAAUCACCUGGAGAGUCCAGAAACUUCCCGCCUCAGUGAAAGAACAUCAGUGUAUCAGCACAGCAAAUAUUCCAAAUGCCAGGCUGGAUUCCCUCCAAUUACCAGGACCUCCAGGCUUCUCCUCCUUUCAAGAACUUUCUGACCCUGGAUCCAGUCUAAAUGUUGGUUAUAAACUCACCUGACAUCCACAGGGCCCUUCCAAAAUACUGUCAAGGCUGACUGCUGGUGCCUGGAACCUGCACACCCUCCUGGGACUCUGCAUCUCUGCUGGGGCUGGUUUCUCCUCUGAGCCACCUUAAGGAAUCCCACCCUGACCCGGUCAGAGCUCACCAUGCCUCCCUCUCCUACUUGCUCAGCAUUUUGUGUCUAUCUAGACUGAAGCCUUUGCUUUCUCUCUGUGAUUAUGGUGAAAGUUCAGUUUGCUUUCCUAUCUCUAGAAUGUCAGCACGAAGGCAGAGGCAUGGUCUCCUGAGUUCCAUAACCCCAAAGCCUAACUCCCUGCCUGCCACACUGAGGGGCUUAGUAGACAUUGACUUACUAAAUUGAAUAGUUGAGUAAUAAUGCUCUUUGAAAUAAUUUGGAGUUAGAUCUUGAGCCUUGUGUGGCCAGAGGAUGGGUGAGGACACAUCAUAAAAACUAAAGGUAACUGAGCAUGCCAGUGGUUGGGGUGAGAAAUUUGCAUGGAGCACUCCAGACACAGAGGCAGCAAAACCCAAGUGCUGGGAAGUCAGAGUGAGAGAGUGAAGGGGCAGUGAGUGCUUCUUUAGGAGCUGGAUCAAAACCUAAGAUGAUCUGGCCACAUGGUGCAGACUGAGCACACACUUGGGAGAGAAAUGGGCCAGGAGGAGAGGAGAGAGGUUCACCACAGGACAGUGGAUGACUGGGAAUAGAAGCCCUCCCCAUGGUGGACCAAGAAGUCUGUGAAGCUGAGAGAAAGACAAAAGAAAUCACGACUUCUGUAGGUAGCUGGGAUGGAAACCUCAGGGGUGACAGGGUCUUUAAAGGAAAUCUCAAGGAAGGCAUCAUGUUCUGGGUGUGCUCCAGGGAUGCUGAGUAAGAAAAGACCAGCCUUUCUGUGUGUGUCUUUACUCUGCCACAAGGCACCUGGGCUCCUAAAUGACCAAUACACAUGUGCUAUACUGGUGCCAAGAAAGAAGGGUGUUUUGUAGGAAAGUCAAGGUGAGAGGAGGUGCCCAGGACUUGGCUCCUUUCUUUGAAGGGUGACGGUGUAAAUUCUCCAUGCUGGGGAUCCUACUGAUGGAUGGAGGCAUGUCGAUCUCAUCAUUUCACAGAGUGGGGAGCUAUGGCCACAACGUGCCUAUCACACAAGUCCAGCCUCACGUCAGCUGGACACCAGCUGUUCUGACACUUGUCAGCACAUGGGGCACCCGGAAGUUCAUGGUGUUCUGCAAAGAACGCCACAAAACAGUGAGCUCAACUUCUUGAAAGUCAUAAUGUGUUGCUAAGUCCGAUCCCAGAUCCUAAAAAUAAUAUGAGGUAGUGGCCAUUGAACAGAAAAAAUUUACAUCUUAAACUUGAAGAUAAGUACAAGUGUACCUUUUUCUACCACUGUUGUUCAGUUUUAUUAUAUUGACAAGCACCUCUGCCCACCCUGUGGGGUAAAACUGUUUGAAAGUGUUUAUGAAAGUUUUAUAUAAAUAUUGGUUGAUCAAAUGUACAAAAUAUGCAUGAUGGCACCAUAUUGUGUAUAAUAGUGACAAAUACAGUCUAUGUGGGUGGAGAAACAAGCUCGGUGUUGUG